rnacentral:tRNA from 1 species
GCGCCCGUAGCUCAGCUGGAUAGAGCACUGGCCUACGAAGCCAGGUGUCGAAAGUUCGAAUCUUUCCGGGCGCG